GACGAACGCUGGCGGCGUGCUUAACACAUGCAAGUCGAACGGAAAGGCCCUGCUUUUGUGGGGUGCUCGAGUGGCGAACGGGUGAGUAACACGUGAGUAACCUGCCCUUGACUUUGGGAUAACUUCAGGAAACUGGGGCUAAUACCGGAUAGGAGCUCCUGCUGCAUGGUGGGGGUUGGAAAGUUUCGGCGGUUGGGGCUUGACUCGCGGCUUAUCCGCUUGUUGGUGGGGUAGUGGCUUACCAAGGCUUUGACGGGUAGCCGGCCUGAGAGGGUGAGCGGCGACACUGGGACUGAGAGACGGCACAGACACCGACGGGAGGCAGAAGGGGGGAAUAUUGAACAAUGGGUGGAAGCCUGAUGAAGCAACGCCGCGUGCGGGAUGACGGCCUUAGGGUGGGAAACCGCUUGCGCUCAUGACGAAGCUUUGUGUGACGGUAGUGGGUAAAGAAGCACCGGCUAACUACGUG
rnacentral:rRNA from 1 species